CUCUUCUGAGAAGGACGCAAGAAGGAACAUCCAGGCCAGAUCAUGGGAGGGACCCGGAUGCCUAAACUCACAGAGGACGCAGCCCCACCUGCCUCGUAAUUAAAGAAUUGCAAGUUAGUACAGCGGGUGUGUGUGUGUGUGUGUGUGUGUGUGUGUGUGUGUGUGUGAUCAAACAUUAGAUGAAUAUUUAAAUUUUUUAAAAUGUAUUAUAACAAGAGACAAAUUUCUAUCAGUUCCCCUCAAAAUACUCUCCCUCGCUUUACGAACUUUAUUCCAUCAUUUCUGCCCCUCUCUGAAGCAGCUCUGGAGUCCUCUCGCCUAUCUUUAGCUGCACUGUCGUGAUUGCCUGCAUGUCCGGGAUCCACUCAAAAUGUUUCCCCCUCAGGGUCAUUCUGACUUGGGGAAGAGCCAGAGGUCACACGGUGCCACAUCUGGUGAAUAAAGUGGAUGAGAGGACACCUUUGCGUGUUUGACAGAAGUUGCUAUAAAUGUUUGAUCAACAAGGUGUGAUAACAAUAUAUUAAAACUUUUUAUAAUAGUAAAAGACACACUGCCCUCAACCCCCCUCAAAAUACUGCUCUCUACUUUGAACACAAUUACCCCACUCUUUUUGAAAAUGGGUGUUUCACUGUAAUAUGGUUUUUCUCUUUAAUUUAAGCAUCCACUGUAAUUUUCCAUCACCCCCAUAAAGUGGAGAGAAGAAUCAUAUCUCCAGCACUUACCACCUGAAGGCUUGAGUGACCCAGAAGCAAGGACAGCCAUGUAGAAACGUGAUUGAACGAAAAGGGUGUCAGUGAAUGGUGACAGAACAAGGAACACAGGGAGGCUGGUCCAGGUUCCUCUUGGCUCUGUGCAGAGUUCCUUUGGGGAGGGCCUGGGCCCUCCAAGCUUGGAGUCUAAUGAUCAGACAGAGGAUGUCAGAGCAUUUCUUUAUGGCCCACUCUUACACUGAAAGGAGCUUCGAAGAUGGCUGA
rnacentral:lncRNA from 1 species